rnacentral:rRNA from 1 species
GACGUAGGGCGCGAGCGUUGUCCGGAUUUAUUGGGCGUAAAGAGCUCGUAGGCGGCUUGUUGCGUCGGCUGUGAAAACCCGCGGCUUAACCGUGGGCUUGCAGCCGAUACGGGCAGGCUAGAGUUCGGUAGGGGAGACUGGAAUUCCUGGUGUAGCGGUGAAAUGCGCAGAUAUCAGGAGGAACACCGGUGGCGAAGGCGGGUCUC